UACGUAGGAGACGAGCGUUGUCCGGAAUUAUUGGGCGUAAAGGGCGCGUAGGCGGCCUGGCAAGUGGAAGGUGAAAUCCCUCGGCUUAACCGAGGAACUGCCCUCCAAACUGCUUGGCUUGAGUCCGGGAGAGGUGAGUGGAAUUCCCAGUGUAGCGGUGAAAUGCGUAGAUAUUGGGAAGAACACCGGUGGCGAAGGCAGCCCCCUGGGUCAAUACUGACGCUCAUGCACGAAAGCGUGGGGAGCAAACAGG
rnacentral:rRNA from 1 species